ACUUAUUAGGCGUUUGGCCAUGAAAACCAAAUAUUUUUCACUUUAUUUGGUAUUUUGGAGUUGGAGUUGGAGUUUAAGAUGGAGUUGUGUUUGGUUAUAGUUUUUGCAAAGAAUAUUUGGUUGUUUGAAUGUAUUAAAAAUGAAAAAAAUGGGAAAAAAACGUGAAAAACAAGUUUUGGUUGUUUUUCAAAUUCCAAAUACAACUUCAAGUUGUAUUUAGAAUUUUUAUGGCCAAACACCAUAAAGUGAAAAAAUAUUCCGGAAUAAAGUGAAUAAUUCUCAUGGACAAACGGGCCUUAGAAUGUCACUUAUGGAACUUGUUUUCCCUACUUCCAUUUUGGGAAUUAUUUUCCUACAGAAAAACAUUUUCCAUAAAAUGUUUUCGUCCAUACCAAACACACCCUUAGAGGUGAUAGUUUUUAUUUUGGUUGCAUAGGUGAUUUAUGUCACCAGUGUCUAGUAUAUGUUAAGCAGAUGAUUUGGUCCUUUUCUCCAGUUUAUUCCUGAUUACACUUGAAGAGUGCAAUGUAGUGAACUGGUUAUGUUUUAGCUUGUUAGAGAUUACUCCUCGUAUGCACCAGAAUUAACCAGUGUUUUUAAUUUUGAGUUUAUGGGUUUUGAAUUCUAAAAAAAAGGCAACUUAUUGGGUUCUGGAUAAAUUGUUGAUACAUAUUAAGUGAAUUUCUUAAAACAAAUACAAGUUCUUGACCAAAGCUAUUGGAUUUUGUUGAACCCCUAGCUUUCUCUCUAGCUCCGCCCCUGCAAGUAACAUGGUACAAAGUUUAACUCAUUGUGGAAGAAUGAGAAGGAUGUUUACUCAGAUAUGCAUUCAUUUGCUUCUUUGCUAGCUAUUACUGUCUUUGCAAUCUGCAUGUUGUUUCCCUAUUUGAAACUCCUUAUGAUUCUUGUUUCUUUCAAAUCCUUCUUUUAUUCCUCAAGAUUAACCCUUUUCUGCUUCAGGUGGACUCUCUUGGAUGUAAAUUUCAUAUUCUUGAAGUCCGUGCUUCUUCAAAUUAGGGGGAUUCUUCAUAGCUGCAUUCAGUCGUUUGGCUUUUCCUCGGAUAAUAAAGAGGGAGAGAUAAUAGGACUUCCUAAACCAUGUCCAUAUUCUCCAAUGUACAAGAAACAGAAUUAAGUUGUACAAAAGAAGUUUUCUUGUCUGCCAUCCGCUUUGCCACUUCCACCGCUGAUUCUUUCCCUCAAUUCGAGGAUGAUCUAAGAACCUCAGCCCAGGAACAAGUCGAGUUCAUGCUCGAGGAUGAUGAAAAUAUUCCCCUGGUCAUGGGUGAUGAUGAAAUAAAAGUGGAGACUAGAAUUUUGGUGUCUAAAAUCUUUAGUUCUUUUGAAAAUGAAUUAUUCUCCUUGAUAUUGGAGCCCGAUUUUGCAAAUGAAGAGAUGGAAAAGAAAAUAAUGCGGAGUCUAUCUGACCUUGAAUGGAUCCAUAACACUCUUUUGAAGAUGGAUCUCGUGAAGGAUUUUGUCUCCAACUGGGUUAAUAUAUCGAGCAAUUUACUGAAGGUCAUCGAAGAUAAAAGACUUGAUUCUAUCAUGUGGGGUUUGAAGAUAAAGUUAAUAGAAGUGACAUCAAAAGUAUUGGAAGCGGUAGGUUAUGGAACCGUAGUUCUUCCAGCAGAAAGUCGAGUAGAAUUGCUCAAGAAAUGGAUACCCUACAUAAGAAAAAUGAAGUCCCUUUCCGAUAAAACGGAGCCCGCAUUUCCAUACAAGAUGAGCGAAGACCUUUGCCAAGGCGUCGAGGGAGCAAUAGUUUCAUUGGUUUCAGCAUUACCAUCAAAUGAUCAAGCUGAAAUUCUAUCAGAUUGGAUAAGUGCUGAGCAGGUUAAAUAUCCAGACCUUAGUGAAGCUUUUGAGAUAUGGUGUUAUAGAACCAAGUCCGCGAAAAGAAGAUUGGACGAGGCUUUGACCGAGUCAGCAAUGCCAUUGUCACCCUUAAUUUCCGAAGAGGAAACUUCACCACUUAGUAGAGUGCCCAACAUAUUUCCUGGGUGAUAUCUAUAAUCCUUUCUAUUGUUGAUUUAGAAGCCGAUGCCGAUUUCGAGUAUAUUACUGUAUUUGCUGAUGAUGAAGAAAAACAUGGAUACAAAAGCUUGAAAUUUAACAAGUCGCUGAGGCCAAGAGCUAAAACUAAGAUUUAUAAGCUUAAAGUAGUGAUUGAAGAUGAUCUUGUUAAGACCUUUAGUCCUCGGAAACCGAAAUGUGUGACUCCAGAAAGAGCAAGAGAAGACCUCUUAAGAGAAAGGGAAAAUUUUAAGCUAACUAGUCUAUUGGUAGACACUCUAAGAUGGACGGACAAAGUAUUUAUGAAGAUCGAGAACCAUUGAGAAGAUCCUGCAAGCGAGCAUUGGAUUUUGAUACUAGGAAUGUUGAGAAUGAUGAUCCCAGUUGUUGAAGGUGUUAAUAUACUCGUUUGCAAGAUCCAAAGUGCUGAUUAUUUUCCAUGUGGCCGGACAUUUUCGGAGGAUCUAAACUCCUCAAAGAAGCUUGGUUCAUCAUCAGUGCCUUCCUGGAAUCUCCAUGCUUUCCCAUAUUUCUUCCACCGUCAAUCUAGCAGAUGUUGUUUUACUGUCAUCUCCUUUAUUUCCGAUCCAAAGUAUGCUACUAGUAUCCGUUGCAGGUGUACCAUAGAAGAUAUGAGAAGAAUCAGAGACAUAAUAAGGGCGAAAGAGUUCAUCCAUUGUUUCAGAAGGCAUAACAAGACUCUCCAAACUUGUCCCUUCUUCAACUUUUAUUGCUACAUUUUACUAUCAGCUUCUCCGUUUCUAAUCUAAAGUAUGCUAUUCUUAUCCAUUGCAGGCACACCAUCGACGAUUUAAGAAGAAUCAUAUACAAAAAGUAUAGAACAAUUCAACCACUUUUUAGGAAAAGAAAAAAGGAAGUGGAAAGCAUCAAUAUGUGCUAUGAAAGGUUUUAAGGACAUCCGGAGCAAGAAUGCCCCCCAUUCAAUUCUCAAGAAUACAAGGCUUCAAGUAGCUAGCAGUGAAAGUGGAGCCGUAGUGAAAUAUAGUGAAAAUUCAGAGUUGACAUUGGCACAAGAAAUAGGGGGAAAGUUUUGCCUGGAGAGUCUUGUUAUGCAUUCUCUGAGAGAAUGGAUCAACUCUUUCUCACUUUUUAUAUCUGAGAUUCUUCUCUUAUAUCUGCUAAUGGUAAACCUGCAAUGGAUAGCAUACUCUGGUUCAGAAAUAGAAGAGUUGAUGGUGAAACAACAUUUGCUGGACUGACAAUUGAAGAAAUGUGGGAAAAUAUUUGCCUGAAGAUUCUUGGAAGGCACUGAUGAUGAACCAUGCUUCUUUGAGGAGUUUGCGUCCGUUGAUAAUGUCCUGCAACAUGUGAAAUUAUCAGCACUUUGGGUCUCAUGUACAUGUAUAUUAACGACUUCAACAACUGGAUCAUCAUUCUCAACAUUCCUAGUAUCAAAACUCAAUGCUUGCUGCAGGAUCUUUUCAAAGGUUCUUGAUCUCCAUGAAUACUUUAUUCAUCCAUCUCAUAGCGUCUACCGAUAGACUUGCCAGCUUGUAGAAAUUCAUCUCCGCUUGGCUUAUAGAAAAUUUUCCUUUCUCCUGAGAGGUUUUAUCUUGCUCUUUCUGGAGUAGCACAUUUCGGUGUCCCAAGACUAAAGGUCUUAACAAGAUCAUCUUCAAUCACUACUUUAGGCUUAUAAAGCUUAGUUUCAGCUUUGGGGCCUCAGCGUCUCAUUAAAUUUUUUGUCGUGGCCAUGUUUUUCUUCAUCAGCUGAAACAUAAUUCAGUGAUAUUUUGUAACUUGGCAUCGGCUCGCUUAUAAAAAGGAUUAUAGAUAUCACUGAAUUGUUUCAUAAAGCAAAUAUGAAGGGGUCAUGGCUAUUGAAAAUCACAACAGCAUGGAGGUUAUUUUUGUGUGAUCUAUGUAUUUUCUAGAAUGAACCUUGUAACAUUAUCAGUUUUUAUGUGAUCUAUGGCUAAGGACUUCUCAUGCUUUCCUUUUCCAGAAUAAAGCCACUUUCAUGUUGUUAUUUGUG